GACGAACGCUGGCGGCGUGCUUAACACAUGCGAGUCGAACGGAAAGGCCCUGCUUUUGUGGGGUGCUCGAGUGGCGAACGGGUGAGUAACACGUGAGUAACCUGCCCUUGACUUUGGGAUAACUUCAGGAAACUGGGGCUAAUACCGGAUAGGAGCUCCUGCUGCAUGGUGGGGGUUGGAAAGUUUCGGCGGUUGGGGAUGGACUCGCGGCUUAUCAGCUUGUUGGUGGGGUAGUGGCUUACCAAGGCUUUGACGGGUAGCCGGCCUGAGAGGGUGACCGGCCACAUUGGGACUGAGAUACGGCCCAGACUCCUACGGGAGGCAGCAGUGGGGAAUAUUGCACAAUGGGCGGAAGCCUGAUGCAGCAACGCCGCGUGCGGGAUGACGGCCUUCGGGUUGUAAGCCGCUUUCGCCUGUGACGAAGCGUGAGUGACGGUAAUGGGUAAAGAAGCACCGGCUAACUACGUG
rnacentral:rRNA from 1 species